AAAAAGUGGCAGACCAGAUGAGCGUAGUGGUUCGAAUAUAAGACACGGUAAAAACUGCAGGAGACAAGUGUUCAUUCAUAAAGCAAAGCAAGCGUAGUAGUUUCAUAGAUACUAACAGGUCUAUUUAACAGAGAAUAUUGUGAAGCAAAACAAGAAUUGUAAAACGGCAAGACAUUUCAAUUCCCACAUUCAAUUGACAGCGACCGACCAACUACCCAUUGCAGUUUAGUGACUUGAGGGGAAAUAAGAUUUAUUUUAGCCACAGAGAGAAAUUUGCUUGGAAGUUCCGACACAUUCGAUAAUCACCCAUUGACUGCUUCCCAACCUGAAGCAAGAAAGAGAAGUACGACGAGUUUAGAUAAGAUGUUCACCAAUAUGAGUUUGAUAUUGGAUGAGAUAAAAUACACAGAAAUCCACAUCAUAAAACAAAACAAUUCCAGGCAACAAAAAAACUGACAUGCAUUGUAAUUUUCCCUGCAUAAAUAAAAGAACUAUCCGAGCGUUGACCCGAAGUUCUGUAUUGAAGCAGGUAGUCUAAAAAUUUCAAGGUUAUUUCAUGUAACAUCAUCAAUUUCUGGCUACAAGUGCAGAACAAUGGCAGAACUGGAGAAGGAAAAUAAAUGAAAAUGAAGCAGAUCUGCUACUUCAUUUAUAAGUUUAAAUAGUAUGCAUCAUACCAUUUCUACUCCCUCCGUAAACUAAUAUAAGAGCGUUUAGGUCACUAUUUUAGUAAUCUAAACGCUCUUAUAUUAGUUUACAGAGGGAGUAUUUUCUAAUAGCAUUUAGACCUUACCCAAAAUUGCAUAUUUGGUUAUUACUAUAUUUGGUACAAUCUAGAUGGCAGGAAAACAAUUAUAAGACUACAUUAUAUGCACAUUUUAGUUUCUAUUCAUGAACACAGGUGAAAUGCGUAACAAUAAUGUAUGGUUUUCCUUCAACAGCUGAUCUGGGAGUAACUCCUUCAGCUGCAUACCACUGAUCCAUGUUUUGGGAUCCUUAUAGGAAAGAGCUGAUGGGGUAGGAGAUAUACCACGUCGUUGAAGGUACCAGCAUAAUAUGUGCCAACUAAACAUAGAUGAUGUUUAUGAUGCAACAAAUAAAAGACAUAGAUAAGCCCUUGCAUGCUGGGCUGUGGUAGAGACAUGAUAUAUUGCUGAAACCAGCAAUCAUAUAUUUAGAAAAUACACAACUUUAUGAAAACAGAGAGAAACGAUUGCAGAACUGAAACUCCUAAUGUAGAGAAGGAAACUGCGAGAAACUGUCACUGACUUACUGCCCUUUCAGCAAGAUAGUUAACUCACCUAUGAAAUAGUACAAAGAAACCACAUAGAUAAGGAAAAUAACAGAGCUAUAACUGCAUGGACAUAGUAAUAGAUUGAUAUCACUAAGAUAAAAAAUUCUUGCAUACAUCAAGAUAAAUGUAGACGAGAAAAAUGAUAUGAGAGCCAAGCUCACCACUGCCCAAUCCCACACCUCCAAAAAAGCACCCAAAUUAGCAUGACGGGCAGAAGUGUGAUAUGUGUCGUCUUAGAUCCUGCAAAUACUAACUGCGUUGUGAGGGGCUGAAAUUUAAUCUGGACACAUAGGUCGAAGACAUCGUCAAAACAACCAGUCAAAAACUUAGAAGCAAUAAACUACAACGUUAGAUACACUCACGGGCUAGAACAAUACAAAGAGAAAUUAUCUCAGCAUGCCUUAAAUGUCCAUCAUCUAUUAAAAAGCAACAGACCAGAAGAUUAAAUACUCACACAGUAAGAAUGAUACAAAAAAUGCUCCAAGAGAUCUCACAUGCCCCCAAUGGUUUUCAUAAAAAAAACAGCAAGACUGAUCUUAGAAAAUUGCUCAUGGAUUAACAUAGGCACUAAUCACAGACUGCCAAAUGUAAGGCAGUGUUGUCAAUACAGAGUUUCCGCAAAAGAAAGCAAGGAGAAGAC
rnacentral:lncRNA from 1 species